rnacentral:rRNA from 1 species
CCUACGGGAGGCAGCAGUGGGGAAUAUUGCACAAUGGGGGAAACCCUGAUGCAGCGACGCCGCGUGAGUGAAGAAGUAUUUCGGUAUGUAAAGCCCUAUCAGCAGGGAAGAAAAUGACGGUAUCUGAUUAAGAAGCACCGGCUAACUAGGGUCCAGCAGCUGCGGUAUUACGUAGGGGGUAAGAGUUAUCUGGAUUUACCGGGUGCAAAGGGAGAGUAGACGGUGAUGCAAGUCAGAAGUGAAAGCCCGGGGCUCAACUCCGGGACUGCUUUGGAAACAAUGGGACUGGAGUGCAGGAGAGGUAGGCGGAAUUCCUGGUGUAGCGGUGAAAUGCGGAGAUAUCAGGAGGAACACCAGUGGCGAAGGCGGCUUACUGGACUGUGACUGACGUUGAGGCUCGAAAGCGUGGGGAGCAAACAGGAUUAGAUACCCUUGUAGUC